rnacentral:rRNA from 1 species
AGUGAACGCUGGCGGUAGGCCUAACACAUGCAAGUCGAACGGCAGCACAGUAAGAGCUUGCUCUUACGGGUGGCGAGUGGCGGACGUGUGAGGAAUACAUCGGAAUCUACUUUUUCGUGGGGGAUAACGUAGGGAAACUUACGCUAAUACCGCAUACGACCUACGGGUGAAAGCAGGGGAUCUUCGGACCUUGCGCGAUUGAAUGAGCCGAUGUCGGAUUAGCUAGUUGGCGGGGUAAAGGCCCACCAAGGCGACGAUCCGUAGCUGGUCUGAGAGGAUGGUCAGCCACACUGGAACUGAGACACGGUCCAUGCUCCUACGGGAGGCAGCAGUGGGGAAUAUUGGACAAUGGGCGCAAGCCUGAUCCAGCCAUACCGCGUGGGUGAAGAAGGCCUUCGGGUUGUAAAGCCCUUUUGUUGGGAAAGAAAAGCAGCAGGUUAAUACCCCGCUGUUCUGACGGUACCCAAAGAAUAAGCACCGGCUAACUUCGUG